rnacentral:rRNA from 1 species
CCCGGUGGCCCUGGCGGGGAGACCAAACCCGAUCCCAUCCCGAACUCGGCCGUUAAACUCCCCAGCGCCAAUGGUACUGUGUCUUAAGACCCGGGAGAGUAGGUCGCCGCCGGGC